rnacentral:rRNA from 1 species
CAGCACCUCAAGUGGUCAGGAUGAUUAUUGGGCCUAAAGCAUCCGUAGCCGGCGCUGUAAGUUUUCGGUUAAUCUGUACGCUCAACGUACAGGCUGCCGGGAAUACUGCAGCGCUAGGGAGUGGGAGAGGUAGACGGUACUCGGUAGGAAGGGGUAAAAUCCUUUGAUCUAUUGAUGACCACCUGUGGCGAAGGCGGUCUACCAGAACACGUCCGACGGUGAGGGAUGAAAGCUGGGGGAGCAAACCGGAUUAGAGACCCGAGUAGUCC